rnacentral:rRNA from 1 species
AACGUAGGUGGCGAGCGUUAUCCGGAUUUACUGGGCGUAAAGGGUGUGCAGGCGGGUGAACAAGUGGUGUAUGAAAGGUUUCGGCUCAACCGAGAUAGGUUAUGCCAGACUGUUUACCUAGAGUGUGAGAGAGGGACGUGGAAUUCCGGGUGUAGUGGUGAAAUGCGUAGAGAUCCGGAAGAACACCGGUGGCGAAGGCGGUCUGACUGGGGUAAUGCUGGACACUGAUGCGCGACAGCGUGGGGAGCAAACAGGAUUAGAAACCC